rnacentral:rRNA from 1 species
GGGCGCAGCCUGAUGCAGCCAUGCCGCGUGAUGUGAAGAAGGCCUUCGGGUUGUAAAGCACUUUCAGUUCGUGAGGAAGGGUGUGUAUUUAAUAGAUGCGCACUUUGACGUUAGCGACAGAAGAAGCACCGGCUAACUCCGUGCCAGCAGCCGCGGUAAUACGUGAGGGUGCGAGCGUUAAUCGGAAUUACUGGGCGUAAAGCGCAUGCAGGUGGUUCGUUAAGUCAGAUGUGAAAGCCCGGGGCUCAACCUCGGAAUAGCAUUUGAAACUGGCGAACUAGAGUACUGUAGAGGGGGGUAGAAUUUCAGGUGUAGCGGUGAAAUGCGUAGAGAUCUGAAGGAAUACCAGUGGCGAACGCGGCCCCCUGGACAGAUACUGACACUCAGAUGCGAAAGCGUGGGGAGCAAACAGGAUUAGAUACCCUGGUAGUCCACGCCGUAAACGAUGUCUACUUGGAGGUUGUGGCCUUGAGCCGUGGCUUUCGGAGCUAACGCGUUAAGUAGACCGCCUGGGGAGUACGGUCGCAAGAUUAAAACUCAAAUGAAUUGACGGGGGCCCGCACAAGCGGUGGAGCAUGUGGUUUAAUUCGAUGCAACGCGAAGAACCUUACCUACUCUUGACAUCUACAGAAGCCAGCGGAGACGCAGGUGUGCCUUCGGGAACUGUAAGACAGGUGCUGCAUGGCUGUCGUCAGCUCGUGUUGUGAAAUGUUGGGUUAAGUCCCGCAACGAGCGCAACCCUUAUCCUUGUUUGCCAGCGAGUAAUGUCGGGAACUCCAGGGAGACUGCCGGUGAUAAACCGGAGGAAGGUGGGGACGACGUCAAGUCAUCAUGGCCCUUACGAGUAGGGCUACACACGUGCUACAAUGGCACAUACAGAAGGGCAGCAAGCUAGCGAUAGUGAGCGAAUCCCAAAAAGUGUGUCGUAUCCGGAUUGGAGUCUGCAA